rnacentral:rRNA from 1 species
AACGAACGCUGGCGGCAUGCCUAACACAUGCAAGUCGAACGAGACCUUCGGGUCUAGUGGCGCACGGGUGCGUAACGCGUGGGAACCUGCCCUUAGGUUCGGAAUAACUCCCCGAAAGGGGUGCUAAUACCGGCUAAUGUCUUCGGACCAAAGGUUUAUCGCCUUUGGAUGGGCCCGCGUUGGAUUAGCUAGUUGGUAGGGUAAAAGCCUACCAAGGCGACGAUCCAUAGCUGGUCUGAGAGGAUGAUCAGCCACACUGGGACUGAGACACGGCCCAGACUCCUACGGGAGGCAGCAGUGGGGAAUAUUGGACAAUGGGCGAAAGCCUGAUCCAGCAAUGCCGCGUGAGUGAUGAAGGCCUUAGGGUUGUAAAGCUCUUUUACCCGGGAUGAUAAUGACAGUACCGGGAGAAUAAGCUCCGGCUAACUCCGUG